CCUUCAAAAUGUAAGACUGGUUACGUACAUCUAUCAGUGUGAAUGGAAACAGCUGUGUACCACCUGAGACUGUCUAGUGUGGGUGGUCAACCACAUCACAUACAAAUUAACUGAAGUGUACUUGUCAGGAAAAAAAAAUUAUUUAACUCUGCAAACUCAGACAAUCAGAAGCUUUCUGUGUAGAAUGUUUUUCUUUGUAAACUGUUUCAUUUUUAUUGUUAACCUGUGCCUUAUAUUUACCCAAAAUGAUUUUUCUUUCUUUUUUCUCCCCCUUUGGCUUCCUCUUUGGAUGUGUAUGCACCCCAUGAACUUGGCUUCUUCUCUCCUGUAUAACAGAGUGAAAGCUUGGGUGGAAGGAAUUGCAAGAGGAGAUGGGUAGGAUUAGAAAGUGCUAUAAUCAUGACCUUUCAAGGAAGAGUCACUGGAGUCAGAUAUACAAUAUCCCAAAGGAAGGAUUCCGUAGAAGUUUGUGUAGGUGACUGUAUGCAACUGGCGGUCUUCUAAUGCCCAUGUCUGGAACGGGAACACGCACCAUCUCUCGUGGUGCAGUAGUGAACAGUGGAGUAAGGCCAGACCCUGAUUUGGAUCUCUUUCUGAGAUCCUAAGAAGAGAGAGAGCUCUGAUCUCUGGAAGAGGAGGUAGGGUUUUGCAACUAGGAUCUCACUCAGAGUAACAUUUUUGCUUUCACUUUUCUGCAAUUAAUAUAAGGCCCUGGAAAAUGAUGGGCAGAGAUAGCUUGUUGCUUUUUUUCUAUAUCUCUGCUUACUUUUAUAGCCUAACAGCUAGUGAGAACGGCUCCAGUCACUGCUACCAUGUCCUUGCUAUUUUCCUUCAUUUUAUUAACAAUAAUAAUGUUAUUAUCUCUGUAAAAAGGCUACAUGCAUCUUAAACAUUUAAACAAUUAAAAAAGACAAGGAAAGUGAACAUCCUAUUCAGGUAGAAUCAUCAUUAUUAUUUGGUGAGCAUCAUUCCAGAAAAAUUAAAUCGAAAUAACUUUAAAGAAUGUAUUAUACCAUACACAUGAUUUUAAGAUUAUUCAGUUGAAUUUUACUUGAAGUUAACAAAAGAAGCUGACAGAACCUAGCACAAUUGAAAUUCAGGUAGGUACUUUACCAAAAAUAUUGGAACCUGAAAGUGUCUAAGGUUAAAAAUAAGAGUGAUGAAGAGCUUUAAGAGUUGAAAUUACAAUGCUUGUUAUACCUACAUGUUUGAAAUUUAGACUUUACCUAUUGACUCUCUGCUGUGAAAGAUGAGGAAAUAGCACAUUUGUACCCUUUGAUACCCACCACUCACUAUUUUUAUUAGUUACAUGAUUAUGUUUUAUAUUAUCAUGGCUUAUAACACUCAAAUUUUGCAGGGUAACAUUAAUCCCCACGGUUUCAUAAUUGCUGUUGGAUAUUUAAAUUAAUAGACUGCUGAACUCAAGUCUUUCUACUAUAAGUUUUCUACUGGUAGUUUUCAUUUUUUUGCCUUUAUUUAUUCCAUAAUUGGCUGGAUCUGUUCAGUAACCAUCCCCCUACACCCCGAUCCUCCACAACCCCUGGCAUAAUUUUCUUUUUUCUACAAGAGCUUUUGGGGCACUAGUGGUUUUUUGUUACACGGAUGAAAUUAUAUAGUGGUGAAUUCUGAGAUUUUAGGGCACCCAUCACCUGAGUAGUGUACAUCGUACCUAAUGUGUAGUUUUGUUUUUUUUUUUUAUCCCUAAGCCCCUUCCAAUCCUCCUCUUUCUGAAUCUCUAAAGUCUGUUAUAUUACUCUGUAUGCCUUUGUGUACUCAUAGCUUAGCUCUCACUUAAAAGUGAGAACAUAUGGCUUUUGGUUUUUCACUCCUGUAUUACUUCACUUAGAAUAAUGGCCUUCAGCUCCAUCUAAG